rnacentral:rRNA from 1 species
GUCCUACGGGUGGCAGCAGUGGGGAAUCUUAGACAAUGGGGGAAACCCUGAUCUAGCCAUGCCGCGUGAGCGAUGAAGGCCUUAGGGUUGUAAAGCUCUUUCAGCUGGGAAGAUAAUGACGGUACCAGCAGAAGAAGCCCCGGCUAACUCCGUGCCAGCAGCCGCGGUAAUACGGAGGGGGCUAGCGUUGUUCGGAAUUACUGGGCGUAAAGCGCGCGUAGGCGGACCAGAAAGUUGGGGGUGAAAUCCCGGGGCUCAACCUCGGAACUGCCUUCAAAACGCCUGGUCUGGAGUUCGAGAGAGGUGAGUGGAAUUCCGAGUGUAGAGGUGAAAUUCGUAGAUAUUCGGAGGAACACCAGUGGCGAAGGCGGCUCACUGGCUCGAUACUGACGCUGAGGUGCGAAAGCGUGGGGAGCAAACAGGAUUAGAUACCCGGGUAGUCC